rnacentral:lncRNA from 1 species
GUCAAACCACCAACUAUCUUCUAAAGUUGGUAGUGUGUUGGUCAAGUUGCCACGCACCAUGUUGGACGAUGAUGAACUAUCCAAACGUUGCAAGGACUUGUAGGAAGAGAAAAAAAACUGGGCUGCCAGGGUGGGGAUGUUGUGGUAGAGAAGGACGAGCUUGCCAAGAAGGUGGUAGAUCUUGAUGCCCUGUUGAUUGAAGGAGUCACAGUCCAUGCUGGAGAAGUUCGAGCUAUGGGCUGCUAGAG